GUGGGGAAUUUUGGACAAUGGGGGCAACCCUGAUCCAGCCAUGCCGCGUGCGGGAAGAGGGCCUUCGGGUUGUAAACCGCUUUUGUCAGGGAAGAAAUCCUUUGGGUUAAUACCUCGGAGGGAUGACGGUACCUGAAGAAUAAGCACCGGCUAACUACGUGCCAGCAGCCGCGGUAAUACGUAGGGUGCGAGCGCUAAUCGGAAUUACUGGGCGUAAAGCGUGCGCAGGCGGUUUUGUAAGAUCGAUGUGAAAUCCCCGGGCUCAACCUGGGAACUGCAUUGGUGACUGCAAGACUGGAGUGCGGCAGAGGGGGAUGGAAUUCCGCGUGUAGCAGUGAAAUGCGUAGAUAUGCGGAGGAACACCGAUGGCGAAGGCAAUCCCCUGGGCCUGCACUGACGCUCAUGCACGAAAGCGUGGGGAGCAAACAGGAUUAGAUACCCGUGUAGUCC
rnacentral:rRNA from 1 species